CCUACGGGAGGCAGCAGUGAGGAAUAUUGGUCAAUGGUCGGGAGCCUGAACCAGCCAAGUAGCGUGAGGGAGGACUGCACUACGGGUUGUAAACUUCUUUUAUCAAGGAAUAAAGUCAGGCACGUGUGCCUUUUUGUGUGUACUUGAUGAAUAAGGAUCGGCUAACUCCGUGCCAGCAGCCGCGGUAAUACGGAGGAUCCGAGCGUUAUCCGGAUUUAUUGGGUUUAAAGGGAGCGUAGAUGGGUUGUUAAGUCAGGUGUGAAAGUUUGCGGCUCAACCGCAAAAUUGCGAUUGAUACUGGCAGCCUUGAGUAGAGUUGAGGUAGGCGGAAUUCGUGGUGUAGCGGUGAAAUGCUUAGAUAUCACGAAGAACUCCGAUUGCGAAGGCAGCUUACUAACCUGCCACUGACAUUGAUGCUCGAAAGUGUGGGUAUCAAACAGGAUUAGAUACCCGUGUAGUC
rnacentral:rRNA from 1 species